GAAAUUCAUUAUACUUAGAGAGAUUUAGCCAAAGUCACCAUCAAUACAUUAAAAUGGAGUACUAAAAAUAUUCAAAUAGCUCAAGAAACAAAUAGAGUAACAAAAAGCAGCGGAAAAUGGAAAACAUAAUAAUCAAUGUUCAAAUAUAUAAACAUAACAGUAAAUGUAAAUGAAUAAACACAAAUGAAAAGAAGUGUUGCCAUAUUGCAUUAAAAUGAUCCCAGGUUCACUCUUUCCAUGAGAUACAAAUUGCCAAUAUCAGGGAUUAAAGAGUGUAUACUAGUAUGGCUUGAGUAGGGUUUGUUCCCCCAAAACUCAUGCAGUUGUUCCAACUCUGCUGUCUUAGUGUUAAUUACUGGUAAGUGUGGAGACUUGACCUAAGGAUGGCAUCUGAGAGGUGGGGCCCCUGGGAGGUCUGUGCGUGAUUUGGGGCCUGCCCUCGUGGCACGGUGCAAGGUGUGUCAGUUGAAGUUCAGCUUCCCGGUACAGCGUGUGACAGUGCUUCUGCACCCACCACAACCAGCUUCCACCUGACACCAGACUCCGGGGCCAGCAGACCCUGUAACUUCCACUGUGACUGGCCUUCCCCAAAAGCUCCUCUCAGGCAUUUUAAGGAAGUACAGAAAAGCAGACUAAUAGAACUGCUACAGUUUCCACAGACAUUGAAGAAUAAUCAGAUGCAUAAAUUUUAAAACUUAGAUCAAAUGGAUUGACUACUCAGAAAGGAUAAGCUAAAAAGGAACAUAAAUAAACCAACCAACCAUCUAAGGUGCAAUAGCCUGAGUUGCUUUAACUCAGUUGAAUUUCUAUUUAAAAUUUUAAAAAGAAUUAUUUGAGAGGCAGCGUUAGAGACAGAGGGAGAAACAGAGAGAAAAAGAGGUCUUCCAUCCUCUGGCCACAACAGACGGAGCUGGGCCAGUCUGAAGCCAGGAUCCUGGAGCUUUUUCUGGGUCUCCCACGUGGUACUUGGGCCAUCCUCCACUGCUUUCCCAGGCCUUCAACAGGGAGUUGGAUAUGAAUGGGGCAGCCAGGACACCAACCAGCGCUCACAUGGGAUGCAGCACCCCCUGCAGGGGGAUGCUUAACCUACUAUACCACAGAGCCAAACCCUAAUUUUUUUUCCCAUAAGGAAAAUCUUCAGGUUUUCUGUCAACUUCAGCAAACAUUUAAAGGAAUAACAAAUUUUCAUAAUCUCCUCCAUAAAAGAGAAGAGGAGUUUGUGAGUUUCACACCACUCUGUUACAUCACCACAAACUUAGCAGUGGCUUCAGACAGCAGCCCUAUUAUUGCCUUGUGGUUUCUGCAGAUCCCAAGUUCUGCUGGGUUCAUGAUUCAGUCUCACCAGGAUGAAAUCAAGGGGUCACGCUAUGUCUCUGAAGAUCAGUGUCCUUUCCUCAUUUCCUGAUGUUGACAGAACGCAGUUUCUGUGGAUCCUCAAGAUCAUCUGACAGUAUCUCAGAGAGAGGAUCUUCCAUCUGCUGAUUCAUACCCCAAAUGCCUGCAACAGCUGGGACCAGACCAGGCUGGGAAUCUAUCCAGGUGUCUCACAUGGGUGGCAGGAAAUCAACUACCUACGCCAUCAUCUGCUGGCUCCAGAGGUUCACACGAGCAGAAAGCAAAGGAGUUGGAUUCCUAACCAGGACAAAGCUCCAUUCUGAGAAAAAUUUGAUGAAGAAUGGACUCCCAGGGGAACUGGACAGGGACAACAGAUGCAGAGAAAGUACUAAAUAAAAAGAGAAGAAAACAGGCAAGAAGACUCAGAAGUAAGUCAUAUGUACUUAAAACUUAUCAGAAAAAGGAAAAUCUAGAAUUAGGAAAUUGGAGAAAAAUAUUACCAUUUGUGCCACCUAAAAAUUUAGGUAAUUUUUUUUUUAAUUUGACAGAGUUAUAGAGAGAGAGGCAGAGAGAAAGGUCUUCCUUCCAUUGGUUCACUCCC